ACAGAGGGCGCGAGCGUUGUCCGGAAUCACUGGGCGUAAAGGGCGCGUAGGUGGCCACGAUAAGGCCGCGGUGAAAGUCUGGGGCUCAACCCCAGAUCGGCCGCGGCGACUGUCGGGCUGGGGCACUGUAGAGGCAGAUGGAAUUCCGGGUGUAGCGGUGGAAUGCGUAGAGAUCCGGAAGAACACCAGUGGCGAAGGCGGUCUGCUGGGCAGUGGGAGCUUCGGCUCUCUUUAGCCGACACUGAGGCGCGACAGCGUGGGGAGCAAACAGGA
rnacentral:rRNA from 1 species